GGAUUCUGACUGCUUAUUGCACCACAUGUGUUUUUCUUUGAAACAAACUUGCUUUGGCGGUGGGCCCAGCCUGCCGCCAGAGGUCUAAACUUACAACCAAUUUUUUAUCAACUUGUCACACCAGAUUAUUACUAAUAGUCAAAACUUUCAACAACGGAUCUCUUGGUUCUCGCAUCGAUGAAGAACGCAGCGAAAUGCGAUACGUAAUAUGAAUUGCAGAUAUUCGUGAAUCAUCGAAUCUUUGAACGCACAUUGCGCCCUCUGGUAUUCCGGAGGGCAUGCCUGUUUGAGCGUCGUUUCUCCCUCAAACCGCUGGGUUUGGUGUUGAGCAAUACGACUUGGGUUUGCUUGAAAGACGGUAGUGGUAAGGCGGGAUCGCUUUGACAAUGGCUUAGGUCUAACCAAAAACAUUGCUUGCGGCGGCAACGUCUACCACGUAUAUCUUCAAACUUUGACCUCAAAUCAGGUAGGACUACCCGCUGAACUUAAGCAUAUCAAAAGGCGGAGGAA
rnacentral:rRNA from 1 species